CAGGGUCUAGCCGUGAUUGAAGUCCAAGAUGGCGAACCCUGUUGGCGGCCAUGUGUCAAAAGAAGGAGACGUGGACUUCAUAUUCGUCAUUUUACAUAGACCAAAGAUUGAUGGUGGAUAUGAUGUGAUGCAAGCUAGCGGCCGUCUGUCGCCUCUGAAAAUUCGCUUUUGAAGGAUAACUUGCUUUGAGGAAGAUCUGACUUUUUAUCUCCUUUUUUUAAAGCUACCCCAAAGAUCACAAAUGUAAAAAAGAAGGGCAGGGGAGACGACAAUACUCUUUAUUCCGGUUUCUUUGACCCCGAAAGCUGGAUGCCAAGGAACACGAACACCUCAACCAUGAGGGCAAAGACAAAUAUUAAUCUUGGAAAGAAAGCAAAAUUGGAUCGACCCCAAAUUCAGAGAAUAAAGUGAAAAUUGGAGUUCGAUCCGUCCACCAUCCCCCAACUUUAUCAGAAAGUUUAUUGAAGUUAUCUAACCUGAAAAAAAAAAAAAAAACAAAACAAAAAAACAUCGGCGAUUCCCUUUCAAGCACCCUUCCACAUACCCGUCACUUUAAGACAUCAUUAUCCAAUUGUGCUUCGUAGAGUACAAAUAGCGCGCGAGACGAGUACAAAUAUCACGCGAUAUUUGUACUCCAGAAAUAUCCACGAGCCCGUUGGGCGCGAGUCAAACUAACUUUUGUCACAGGACAUCUACCCGAGAAUUCCU